rnacentral:tRNA from 1 species
GGAGAGAUGUUCGAGUUGGUUUAAGGAGCACGCCUGGAAAGCGUGUGUAGGGGAAACUCUACCGGGGGUUCGAAUCCCCCUCUUUCCG